UUCGGACUGCAGGCUGCAACUCGCCUGCACGAAGCCGGAGUUGCUAGUAAUCGCGGAUCAGAAUGCCGCGGUGAAUGCGUUCCCGGGUCUUGUACACACCGCCCGUCACACCAUGGAAGUUGGGGGUGCCCAAAGCCGGCAGGGAAAUAUGCUGUCUAAGGCAAAACCAAUGACUGGGGUGAAGUCGUAACAAGGUACC
rnacentral:rRNA from 1 species